GUGAAACUCCAUAAUCUUGUGUUCUUGUGAAUCCCAUUCACAUAUGCAGGUUGAUCACUUGAUCGUGUCAAGAGAUGGCAGAACCAUAAAGAGCUGUAGCACAACACCUACCGAGAAGCAGGUCUCAUGAGCAACUGCAGUACCUUCAGGCUGAGGUCAGAAGGCAUGUGGAAACAUCGUUCUGACCGUGAACCAAAGGAACCUGGUCUAAGAUGAAUCACAUAACAAACUUUGAUUUAAAGUAAAAACAUGUGGAAAUCAAGAAUCUACAAAAUUGUGUACAAUAUUGUGUGAGAAAAUAUAGUAGUCAUCGCUUGAAACAACAAUCAAAUCAAUAGGUUUUGAUAGUUUUAGGUAA